rnacentral:rRNA from 1 species
UACGAAGGGGGCGAGCGUUGUUCGGAAUUACUGGGCGUAAAGGGCGCGCAGGCGGCUCUGAAAGUCAGAUGUGAAAGCCCCGGGCUUAACCUGGGAAUUGCAUUUGAUACUCUGGAGCUUGAGUACGGGAGAGGAGAGUGGAAUUCCCAGUGUAGAGGUGAAAUUCGUAGAUAUCGGAAGGAACAUCAGUGGCGAAAGCGACUUCCUGGACCAGUACCGACGUUCAGGCACGAAAGCGUGGGGAGCAAACAGG